rnacentral:lncRNA from 1 species
GUUUUAGUCUAGUUGGGGCAUCCCAUGUGGUGCAAAAGUGUGGGAUCAGUCUUAUGAGAAGCGGUUCAGGAUGAAGAACCAAAUGGAACUUAGUGGUUGUUGCUGCACUAAGUAACUCACUGGCCUUCAAAUGGGAACAGACAUGCAAUUUUGUUAAAUUAAACUUUUUUUCUAAUUUAUCAAAACAAAACAAUACAAAUGGUCGCUCAAUGUAGCUUCUUGAUAAUCACUGCAUGCCAAUUGAAUACGUCUUUGUUGUUUCUCUGAGAGUGCUUACUUUUCACAAAUUGAGGUGGUAUUUUUGUUGGACUGGUGAUUAUUUAUAAGGAGGCCCAAGAAAAAAA